rnacentral:rRNA from 1 species
AGUGAACGCUGGCGGUAGGCCUAACACAUGCAAGUCGAACGGCAGCACAGGAGAGCUUGCUCUCUGGGUGGCGAGUGGCGGACGGGUGAGGAAUACAUCGGAAUCUACUCUGUCGUUGGGGAGAACGUAGGGAAACUUACGCUAAUACCGCAUACGACCUACGGGUGAAAGCAGGGGAUCUUCGGACCUUGCUCGAUUGAAUGAGCCGAUGUCGGAUUAGCUAGUUGGCGGGGUAAAGGCCCACCAAGGCGACGAUCCGUAGCUGGUCUGAGAGGAUGAUCAGCCACACUGGAACUGAGACACGGUCCAGACUCCUACGGGAGGCAGCAGAGGGGAAUAUUGGACAAUGGGCGCAAGCCUGAUCCAGCCAUACCGCGUGGGUGAAGAAGGCCUUCGGGUUGUAAAGCCCUUUUGUUGGGAAAGAAAUCCAGCUGGCUAAUACCCGGUUGGGAUGACGGUACCCAAAGAAUAAGCACCGGCUAACUUCGUGCCAGCCGCCGCAGUAA